AGAGUUUGAUCAUGGCUCAGAAUCAACGCUGGCGGCGUGCCUCAGACAUGCAAGUCGAACGCGAAAGCCUCCUUCGGGGGGCAAGUAGAGUGGCGCACGGGUGAGUAACACGUAGGUAAUCUACCUUUGGAUGGGGUAUAACAACCGGAAACGGUUGCUAAUACCGCAUAAUGCAGCGGCACCUAAUGGUGACAGUUGUUAAAGCGGGGGAUCGUAAGACCUCGCGUCUGAAGAGGAGCCUGCGGCAGAUUAGCUAGUUGGUAAGGUAACGGCAUACCAAGGCGAUGAUCUGUAGCCGGCCUGAGAGGGCGGUCGGCCACACUGACACUGACAUACGGGUCAGACUCCUACGGGAGGCAGCAGUCGGGAAUUUUGGGCAAUGGGCGAAAGCCUGACCCAGCGACGCCGCGUGAAGGAUGAAAUCCCUCGGGAUGUAAACUUCGCAAGAACGGGAAGAAUAAGUAAGGGUUAAUAUCUCUUACGAUGACGGUACUGUUUGUAAGCUCCGGCUAACUCCGUGCCAGCAGCCGCGGUAAUAC
rnacentral:rRNA from 1 species